rnacentral:rRNA from 1 species
AACGCGAAGAACCUUACCAGCCCUUGACAUGCCUCGGACAGUUACCAGAGAUGGUUUCCUCUCUUCGGAGCCGGGAGCACAGGUGCUGCAUGGCUGUCGUCAGCUCGUGUCGUGAGAUGUUGGGUUAAGUCCCGCAACGAGCGCAACCCUCGCCCUUAGUUGCCAUCAUUAAGUUGGGCUCUCUAAGGGGACUGCCGGUGAUAAGCCGCGAGGAAGGUGGGGAUGACGUCAAGUCCUCAUGGCCCUUACGGGCUGGGCUACACACGUGCUACAAUGGCGGUGACAGUGGGACGCAAUGGGGUAACCCUGCGCAAAUCUCAAAAAGCCGUCUCAGUUCGGAUUGUGCUCUGCAACUCGAGCACAUGAAGUUGGAAUCGCUAGUAAUCGCAGAUCAGCACGCUGCGGUGAAUACGUUCCCGGGCCUUGUACACACCGCAUAC